GGGUGCGAUCAUACCUGCACUAAUACACCGGAUCCCAUCAGAACUCUGCAGUUAAGUGGGCUUGGACGAGAGUAGUACUAGGAUGGGUGACCUCCUGGGAAGUCCUCGUGUUGCACCCU
rnacentral:rRNA from 1 species